AGAGUUUGAUCAUGGCUCAGAUUGAACGCUGGCGGCAGGCCUAACACAUGCAAGUCGAACGGUAACAGGAAGCAGCUUGCUGCUUCGCUGACGAGUGGCGGACGGGUGAGUAAUGUCUGGGAAACUGCCUGAUGGAGGGGGAUAACUACUGGAAACGGUAGCUAAUACCGCAUAAUGUCGCAAGACCAAAGAGGGGGACCUUCGGGCCUCUUGCCAUCGGAUGUGCCCAGAUGGGAUUAGCUUGUUGGUGGGGUAACGGCUCACCAAGGCGACGAUCCCUAGCUGGUCUGAGAGGAUGACCAGCCACACUGGAACUGAGACACGGUCCAGACUCCUACGGGAGGCAGCAGUGGGGAAUAUUGCACAAUGGGCGCAAGCCUGAUGCAGCCAUGCCGCGUGUAUGAAGAAGGCCUUCGGGUUGUAAAGUACUUUCAGCGGGGAGGAAGGGAGUAAAGUUAAUACCUUUGCUCAUUGACGUUACCCGCAGAAGAAGCACCGGCUAACUCCGUGCCAGCAGCCGCGGUAAUACGGAGGGUGCAAGCGUUAAUCGGAAUUACUGGGCGUAAAGCGCACGCAGGCGGUUUGUUAAGUCAGAUGUGAAAUCCCCGGGCUCAACCUGGGAACUGCAUCUGAUACUGGCAAGCUUGAGUCUCGUAGAGGGGGUAGAAUUCCAGGUGUAGCGGUGAAAUGCGUAGAGAUCUGGAGGAAUACCGGUGGCGAAGGCGGCCCCCUGGACGAAGACUGACGCUCAGGUGCGAAAGCGUGGGGAGCAAACAGGAUUAGAUACCCUGGUAGUCCACGCCGUAAACGAUGUCGACUUGGAGGUUGUGCCCUUGAGGCGUGGCUUCCGGAGCUAACGCGUUAAGUCGACCGCCUGGGGAGUACGGCCGCAAGGUUAAAACUCAAAUGAAUUGACGGGGCCCGCACAAGCGGUGGAGCAUGUGGUUUAAUUCGAUGCAACGCGAAGAACCUUACCUGGUCUUGACAUCCACGGAAGUUUUCAGAGAUGAGAAUGUGCCUUCGGGAACCGUGAGACAGGUGCUGCAUGGCUGUCGUCAGCUCGUGUUGUGAAAUGUUGGGUUAAGUCCCGCAACGAGCGCAACCCUUAUCCUUUGUUGCCAGCGGUCCGGCCGGGAACUCAAAGGAGACUGCCAGUGAUAAACUGGAGGAAGGUGGGGACGACGUCAAGUCAUCAUGGCCCUUACGACCAGGGCUACACACGUGCUACAAUGGCGCAUACAAAGAGAAGCGACCUCGCGAGAGCAAGCGGACCUCAUAAAGUGCGUCGUAGUCCGGAUUGGAGUCUGCAACUCGACUCCAUGAAGUCGGAAUCGCUAGUAAUCGUGGAUCAGAAUGCCACGGUGAAUACGUUCCCGGGCCUUGUACACACCGCCCGUCACACCAUGGGAGUGGGUUGCAAAAGAAGUAGGUAGCUUAACCUUCGGGAGGGCGCUUACCACUUUGUGAUUCAUGACUGGGGUGAAGUCGUAACAAGGUAACCGUAGGGGAACCUGCGGUUG
rnacentral:rRNA from 1 species